UACGCAUCUCUCAGCUCCGCAGUUAGCGUGCUUGGGCGAGAGUAGUACUAGGAUGGGUGACCUCCUGGGAAGUCCUCGUGUUGCAUUCCC
rnacentral:rRNA from 1 species